ACUGUGUCCCUUACGGGUGAAUUCGGUGCUGUGGAGGAGGCAUGUCACCAUCUGUGCCUUGACUCCAUCUCCUUAACUCAGGAUUCGGCAGUGCCAGAGGUGCCUGGAGCAUUGUAGGUGCACAUCCAAGACUGUGUCGGCAUCGGGGGUAGCAACCUGAUUUGGAAGAGUGAUGAACACUGUCCCAGGGCUCUGUCUUCAGCUGAGGACAGUUGAGAAGGAACUGGAGGGCUCAGGUUGUGUGUAUGCUAGACGUGGCACCAAUGGCACCCAGUGACCCACGCUGACACUGCUACCGUAAAUCUCUGAUCAAUGUCGCCAGGAUGCCCUGAUACCUGAAGUGGAAGACCUACAGGGACUCCAAGAGAUGGAAAAUUGACCAAACCUCUUGGUAAAUUCUUCCAAUGGGUGCUGAUAGCUGGUUAUCAAGUCCUCUGCUGGACAUUCUUUAGCUGAACAGAGCCCCCUGAUUAUUAUGAUGCUUUGCUUUCGGAGAGACAGUCAUUCCCAGCCAUUCCUUUAAUUUUGACAAGGUUUUCACCUCAGAAGCUGCCUGCUGUGAUGGUCUCUGACAGGCAGAAGAACAACUUGCAAAAGUACAUCAUGGGAGGAGGAACUAGUUGACAAUACUAAAUAUUGUUGCUGGAGAUGGUAUAGCAAUUGCUGUUGCAAUAGUUAAUACGAAGAACAGAAACUUUCCAUUCCAAACUGAAAUGAGCUUUGGUGUGUAAACUCAGGUCAAUUAAGCUUACGGUGACAAUUAUGCUGUCAAAAAUAUUCCAGCGCUGCUGAAAAUAGUAGUAGGGAUCUAGAGCAAUGAUUUUCAAGAUCACUUCUGCAGUAAAAAUUCCAGUAAAGACCUGUGACAAAAGAAACAUGCUCUAGUGCCAUGAAGACAGUAUUCAUCACGAUGCAAAGAGUGAUAGUGAGUUCCAUGGCUUCCUGAAACCUCCUUUCCUUUGCCUCAGUUUCAGCAAUAGUAGCUUUGUUCUGCUCUUCGUAUGCCAUAGUCACUACAGCCAGGAUCAAGUUGAUCAGAUAAAAUGAGCCCACAAAGAUGACCAGCAUAAAAAAGAGCAUGUAGAUCUUCCCAGAAGCUCUGAGAGUCUGUAAGCACAAAGUACACACUACAUGCAUCUUGUCUUAAACACAGCCCCAAUUCUGCGGAGUUACACAUGUGCAUAGUCUGAUUGAAAUCAUUGGGAGAAUUGGUGCUGGAUAACUGUUUAGAGGACUUAUCCCUACUUUCUGCCUUUUACACUGUGAACUAAGGUUAUCUUUAGACUCUGAACUAGUCAGAGGCUGACUGAAUAUGCAAUAGGCAGAGUUGCAUCAGCGUAACAUAUUAUAAAAGCUGUUUCCGAGCCUACGUGCCUUGGGAGAUGAGAGGAUAACAAUCAUGAUGAGGAUGACUAACACUUCAGGUGUUUUUGCAAGAGAUGGUGUGAAUUUAUGGAUGCUCAGAUCUCAUUCUGUAUUCUCUCUAUUUACCUUCCUCGGUGGAGGGUUUGUGAUUUUGCUAACUGUGCUAAUGAAACUAUUGCAAAUUCAAGGUUUUCUAAGUGUAAGUGUUGUAACUGUGCACGUCAGGAUUCCCAAUUUAACAGUAAUUCUAACAACAUUGGGCCUGAUCUUGAGACUAGAACCUACUAAACGACUAAGUGUUGUCGACUGGGGAUUCUGGAGAAACAGAAGAGGAAGAAAGAAGAUCAGAAGAGAGCUGAAAUCACUGUAGAAGGAAGAGCUGUGGCAGCAGUGACAGCUAAGAAGUCAUGACAGAGCAAAAGGACUGUAGUCAGAUUCGAGGGAAAGAAAACUAUAGAGAAGUAAGCAUGAUGACCAUAGUAUAAGGAACCAAGACAUAUGAGUGUGUAUGCCAGAGAUGAUAAAGUUGGAUGUUGUGUAUGUAUGUUUGUUACUAUGUAUACAAUUUUAAUGUUUUAGGUAAGAACUUGCUGUCAGCAUUCUACAUGUGAUUGAUCACUACACGUAGAAUGUAACCACUUAAAAGCUAUUUCCAACUGUAUUGUAUUGCCAUAUUGGGUACUUUGAUAUGCAUACAUGUGCUAAUGGGAUUUGUAUUUUUGUUUCUUGAAAUAUGCUUUUAAGGUUUAUUGUA